rnacentral:rRNA from 1 species
AUGGGGAAGCCGUCGCAGAAGAAGAAUAAGAGGGCCUCCUCCGGCGCCGGGGACCACCACCAUGGGGCCGGCGGCAAGCCGGGGGCGCUGGAGCGCUCGGGCUCCAAGGUGCUCGACGGCGACGACACCAUUUUCGCGGAGAUGGCGCAGGAGCUGCGGGAGGAGGGGAACAAGCUCUUCCAGCGCCGGGACUACGAGCGGGCCCUGCUCAACUACGAGAAGGCCGUCAGGCUGCUCCCCGCCGGGCCCUCCGCCGCCCUCGACGCCGCCUACCUCCACAGCAACCUCGCCGCCUGCUACAUGCAGAUGAGCCCUCCCGACCACUACCGCGCCAUCAACGAGUGCAACCUCGCCCUCGACGCCUCCCCGAAGUACUCCAAGGCGCUGCUCAAGCGGGCCCGCUGCUUCGAGGCGCUCGGCCGCCUCGACCUCGCCGCCCGGGAUGUCGACAGGGUGCUGGCCGCCGAGCCUGGGAAUCUGACGGCGCUCGACGUCGCCGACAGGGUCAGGCGGACCAUGGAGGAGAAGGGGUUUGUUGUGGAUGGGGAGGCCGUCAUGCCCACGCCCGAGGAGGUGGUCGCCGCCGCCCCCAAGCAGCAGCCGAAGCCCAGGAAGAAGAAGGGGAGGAAGGCGGCCGCCAAGGCCGCGGCUGCCGCCGUGGAGGAGCAGGGGGAGGAGAAGGCGGCCGAGCCUGUCAAGGAGGCUGAGGAGCCGCCCAGGCAGGUCAAGCUCGUGUUUGGCGAGGACAUCCGGUGGGCUCAGGUGCCGGCGACCUGCAGCAUGGCGCAGCUGCGGGAGGCCGUCCGCGGCAAGUUCCCCGGACUCAAGGCUGUUCUUGUCAAGUACAAGGACAGGGAGGGCGACCUUGUCACCAUCACCAACCAGGACGAGCUCAAAUGGGCCGAGGACUUGACUGAACCAGGGAGCUCGCUUCGGCUCUAUGUCACUGAAGCUGAUCCGGAGCAUGAGCCUUAUGUUGAGGAUGCCAGUAGCAACCCGCUGGACAGAAAUACGCACAACGCAUCGGACAAUGGAAGCAUCAGAAGCAACAGGCAGGAUGAGGACAGGAGCACCGUGACUUACAUUGAUGAUUGGAUUGUGCAGUUCGCACGCCUUUUCAAGAACCACGUCGGGGUCAGCUCCGACGAGUAUCUGGACCUCCAUGAGGUCAGUAUGAAGCUGUAUACUGAUGCCAUUGAAGACACGAUUACUACCGACGAAGCCCAGGAGGUGUUUCAGCUCGCGGAGGGGAACUUUCAGGAGAUGGCAGCGCUUGCGUUUUUCCACUGGGGUAAUGUUCACAUGUCUCGUGCUAGGAAGAGGCUGCUCUUACCGGAAGACUCUCCAAAGGAAUUGGUGCUUGAGAAAGUCAAGGAAGCGUACGAGUGGGCAAAGGAAGAGUACAAGAAGGCCGGGAAGACAUACGAAGAAGCUGUAAGGGCCAAGCCGGACUUUUUUGAAGGUUUCCUUGCACUUGCACACCAACAGUUUGAGCAAGCAAAGCUGUCAUGGUAUUAUGCUAUCGGUACCAAUGCGGAUCUGGACACAUGGCCUUCCUCUGAAGUCUUGGAGCUCUUCAAUAGAGCUGAGGAUAACAUGGAGAAGGGUACAGAGAUGUGGGAGGAAGUGGAAGAACAGCGCCUGAAGAAUCGAUCCAAACCUAGCCAGGAAAAUGCUGUGCUAGAGAAGAUGGGCAUGGAGGAGUAUAUCAAAGAUGUAUCCACUGAUGACGCUGCUGAACGGGCUUCCAAUAUGAGGUCUCAGAUCAAUAUUCUCUGGGGUAUGCUGCUUUAUGAGCGCUCGGUUGUGGAGUUUAAAUUAGGACUGCCAGCGUGGGAGGAUUGUCUGAUGGCAGCAAUUGAGAAGUUUAAACUUGGAGGAGCUUCAGCUACAAACAUUGCUGUGUUGGUGAAGAACCACUCUGCAAAUGAAACUGCCCAAGAUGGUUUGGGCUUCAACGUUGAUGAAAUUGUGCAAGCCUGGAAUGAGAUGUACGACAUUAAACGGUGGCUGCGUGGUGCUCCAUCCUUCCGUCUCGAGCCAUUGUUUAGGCGGAGAACUCCGCAACUGCAUAUGGCAUUGGAGCAUAUAUAG